rnacentral:tRNA from 1 species
AUGUGAGACAGACGUGAUAACCAACUACACCACCGAACC